GAUGAGCGCUGGCGGCGUGCCUAAUACAUGCAAGUCGAGCGAAUGGAUUGAGAGCUUGCUCUUAUGAAGUUAGCGGCGGACGGGUGAGUAACACGUGGGUAACCUGCCCAUAAGACUGGGAUAACUCCGGGAAACCGGGGCUAAUACCGGAUAACAUUUUGAACCGCAUGGUUCGAAAUUGAAAGGCGGCUUCGGCUGUCACUUAUGGAUGGACCCGCGUCGCAUUAGCUAGUUGGUGAGGUAACGGCUCUCCAAGGCAACGAUGCGUAGCCGACCUGGGAGGGCGACCGGCACCACUGGGACUGAGACACGGCCCAGACUCCUACGGGAGGCAGCAGUAGGGAAUCUUCCGCAAUGGACGAAAGUCUGACGGAGCAACGCCGCGUGAGUGAUGAAGGCUUUCGGGUCGUAAAACUCUGUUGUUAGGGAAGAACAAGUGCUAGUUGAAUAAGCUGGCACCUUGACGGUACCUAACCAGAAAGCCACGGCUAACUACGUGCCAGCAGCCGCCGUAA
rnacentral:rRNA from 1 species